CUCCGAAAGCGGCGCGUCCGGCGGCGCCGCCACCGUCCCGCCCCACAGCGUGUUGUCGUAGGCGAUGACGCCCCCGACCCUCACCAGCUCAACCAGCCGCUCGUGGUAGUUGAGGUAGUUGCUCUUGUCAGCGUCCACGAACGCGAAGUCCAGCGUCCCCUUGUUCUUCUCCUGUUGCAUAUAUGGCGCUCUCUUGUUAAGCAUGCAUUUAGUCAAACACAUAGAAAGCAACAAGCAAAAAGGGGGAACUGCAGUGGUGUUCCGCACAUCGGCGAGUAAUUGGUCCAGCAGGGGCAGUGCGGGGCCCUCGCGGAAGUCGAUCUUGUGGGCGACUCCGGCCUUGUGGAUGACGGGGAGGCCGAGCUCGUAACUCUCCCUGUUGGUGUCCAGUGCCAGAAUCUACCAGCACAACCGCCGCACUCUCAAAAUCUUGCAUUAAUUCAGGUCCCUAAUCUAUCUAUCUUUCUCAUACAUUAUUUGAAUUGAAGAGCAAAAUUGCAAAACCUUGCCGUCGUGGGGAAGGGCGAGGGCGGUGGCGAGGAGGGAGUAGCCGGUGAAGACGCCGACCUCGAUGGUGUUCUUGGCGUUCAGGAUCUUCAGCAGCAUCCCGAGGAACUGAACCUCGUCCGGCGCCGACGCCAUCACGCCCCUGGCACCAGCAGCCCCCGCGGAACCACCCCCAAACCCAAAAAGGAACAAAAUUAAAAUACAAAAAUUUAUAAAAAAUAAAAAACAUUUAAUCAAAUAAACGGUGCUGAUCGACCUAUCGUUCAUCUUAUUACCGAGGGUGGGCGGCGGAGAUGCGGCGGAGCUCGCGCAGGCACUCGGGCUCGCGAGGGUCGACGGAGGUCUCCAGUAUGUACUACAUAUACAUAAUAAUUAAUACAUAUAUAUACGUAUCAUCAUAUAUUCAUAUUACUUACUGCUAUAUAGUACGAUAUAUCUCUCUGAAACAAAUUAUAUAGCAUCUCGAAGAAACAUUAAUUGAGGGCUUUUCAGUCGCUUUUCUCUACCAGAAAAAGAAAGAAAGAAAGAAAGAGAGAGGAUACGUGGUAGAGGGAUUCGCUCUUGAGGAGGGUCUUAGCAUGGAUUGUGCUGCUACUGCUGCUGCUUCCGCCUCCUCCCUUUUGCUCUUCUUCUCCCUUCGUGCUCGUCGCCAUUGCUCACUUCUCUCUCUGUUUCCUUGGGUGGAAUACAAUGAGUGGUCGGAUGCUAUUCGGCCAGCAAAAAUGCUUUUGCUUUCCUUAUUAUUAUUUAAUGGUAAUUAAUUAAUAUUGAACAGGUAUGUGACGCAUUUACACUGUAUUAUUAAUAAUUAACUAAUUAUAUAUAUUUUUUAAAAUAAUAUAAUAAAAAUAUUAUUUUAAUAAUUAUAAUAGAAUAAGUGAAUAUAGGAAAAAUAAUUUGAUAGAUUAAGAAUGUAAUUGAUUACAUUUUAGAUUUUUUUUCAUCGAUCUAUAUUGAGAUGUUGAAAUUAGAGUACAUAAGAUUGCUUCUCCAUUUUGAGGGUCCACGGGGUUUAUUCUACAAAUUGUCCACGUUAAUAUUAGAAUUAAAACUUUCAAUUUUAAAUCUCAAUACUUUUUUUUUUUACCGACUGUCUUUAGAACAAGUGGCAAAAGACUUGAUGGUUGGUAUCCGAGACUCAGGUUCGAAUCCUAGUUGAUUCACAUUUCCAGCUAAGUUUAUUUCUAAAUGAAAUGAACGAAGCAAGUAGCGUGCUAUCUAUUUCUCAAAAAAAUCUCAAUACUUUUUCUUUUUUCUUUGUUUAUGGACGGAAAAAAAUGCUCGAGGGGUAGGGAUAGAGUUGAUAGUAGAAGUACGUAUCGAUUUUGUAUCUUAAUAAUGGUUGUGCUCAGCUGAUGUGUGCAAAUUAAGAAAAUGUACAGAUGACUGGAAACCAUGCCAAUUAGGUAGGAUCUUUCUUACCGUGCUAAGGACUUUCCAGAGUUUCGCUUGUAGCGAUUGUCUUGUAAUCUUUUUCUUAAAAGAAUCUUCUAGCCUUCGCUAGUUUCGUAAAGAUAAAUUUCACAUUUUUCAAUCAUUUUUGGGCUAACAAAUUUGAUUGAGCUACCAACUGUCCCUAGAGCAAGUGGCAAAGGACUUGAUGGUUAGUAUCCGAAACCCAAGUUCGAAUCUUAGUUGAUUCAUAUUUCCAGUUAAAUUUAUUUCUAAAUGAAAUAAACGAAGCAGAUAGCGUGUUACCUAUCUCUCAAAAAAAAANCUAUAGUCUUUUUUUUUUUUCUUUUUUUUUUGGUCUUGCGCAUAUAUAAGAUGUGUUGUUGUAUAAUUCUUCAGAUUGUUAUAUAUACAUUGUAGUUACAGCAUAACAAAAAACAACCAGUUAAUAUCUAUUCCUUUUCAAUAUCAUAAAUAUUAUUUAUAUGAAUUGAAUUUUCAAAUCUAAGCUAUGAAUAACAAAAAACAACCAGUUAAUAUCUAUUCCUUUUCAAUAUCAUUAAUUUAGCAAUUUAUCCUUUUUUUUUUAAUUAUUCAUAGCUUAGAUUUGAAAAUUCAAUUCAUAUAAAUAAUAUUUAUGAUAGGUUCAGAUUAGAACAAAUUUCUUCCUUAAGCAAUCAUUCAUCGCCUCUCUCCAUAUAGAGAUUAAGGGAUAACAUUCGAAGAUUUUUUGAAAAGAUUUAAAAGAAAUGUCUUAAAUUAUGAAAGGUAAUUAAUUUUUUUUUUUCUAAAAAAAGAGUGAUAGACAUAUAUAAUAUUUGAAACUACUUCGUACUAACUUACAUCUAUAGGAAAAUUUUAUUAAAUUUGUUAAUAAGUUUAUCAAUAUUAACAGUUUCAAAAUACUUUUCAAAGAUUAAACAAAUAAUUAAAAAUAUUUGUAACUUGAAUACCUAGAAUAAUUCAAAUAAAAAAAUAAAAUUAAGAAAUAGUCAAUCAGAGAAAUUAAAGUUAAGGCGCCUAAAGAUUUUUUUAAAACAUAUCUUAACAAAAAAAAAAUAAAAGAAAGAUAAUUUAUUAUUAUUUGUUUGAAUAACCAUCGAUAAUAAUGAUCUAAAAUAUUUGAUCCUAAAUAGGAAAUAAGAAAGAUAAAAGAAGGAGAAUUUGGUUAGACAUAAAUAAAAUCUUAGAGAGUAAGUAAUUAAAAAAAAAUCGGUUUCUCCCCUAACAAAAAACUAACAAAUACUCCCCCCACGGUGCCCUGUAACGCACCAAAAGGAAGUUAAAGAGUUAUUGAGAUUUGAGAAUAUAUAUGGAAAAAACAGAUUCUCCAAAUCUCUUUCUACGAACUAUUUCGUGAACGCGGUGCACCGCCGCAUCUCGUGCACCGCACUGUAGAACCCUGCUCCGCAUCUUAAGGUAGUUCCUCGUACGAUCUCCACCGACCAUCGCCAACAGCGUUGCAUGGUGCACGGAAUGACGUACUUCGUGGACUGCAAAUGUUUAGGGAGUGUUGCAAGUUUUUCCAGUGCGAUCUCCAAACUUAAUCCGCUCAUCUUCAUACUCUCUCUCCCUCUCUCUCUCUACCACCACUCACUUUUUUUGGUGUUCUCUCUCUUUCUCUACCCUCCACUCUCAAUCUCUCUUCUACAUGCAUAGAACGGGAUUUAGGGUUCUUAGACUCUUCUUCCUUUCUCUCUCUCUACACACAUACAUUAUAGGGCCGGUUUAAUCAAUCUCGUAAAAGAAGAGAUUUUCUGAGCUGAAUUAGUCGUCGUCGUCAUCAUCAUCUGCGUUUCUAUUACUUUCGUCCAAUAUGAGCUCAAUUACUAGGUAAUUCUAAUUAACCCUUACUAUUAUCUUUUUUUUUUCCUUCUUUUUUUUUUUUUCUAGAUGUAACUUUGAUGUUGUAUUGUUUAGGUUUUCGUGUAGAUCAUCUUAAGGAAGAUCUGAUAUUAAUUCUAUCCUUCUCUAUAUACAUUGCAGUUGAUCAACACUUUGCGCCUCAUACGUAGCUGCGACUGCAGUUGCUGGUGGUGGCUGUGCUGCGCAUUAUGCGUGUUUAUCAAAUCGGUUGGUGAUAUGUAGAUAGAUCUACGGAAGAGCUCUACGAUCGGUAACUGAAGUAUCAGGUGAUAUAGAUUUAUGUAUUAUGCAGUUUUUUUUUUUUUUUUUUUUUUUUUUAGAGAGAUAGGUAGCAUGCUACUCGUUUCGUUUAUUUUAUUUAGAAAUAAACUUAGUUAGAAAUGCGAAUCAACUAGGAUUCGAACUUGGAAUCUCGAGUACCAACCACCAAAUCUUUUGCCCUUUGCCACUUGUGUGGUAUUUAAUUUGUUUGCCGCUGAGAACGAGGGAAGAAGGGACCUGCUGAGAAUCAGGUGUGAGUUUCAAUUUAAUUUUUGAGCUUUCCUUUUCUUUAUUUUUCUUCUUUCCUAAGCUUUAGGGUUUUUUUUUUUUUUUUUUAAAAAAGGUUCAUGAUAUUAAUGAGAUCGUUGUCUCUUCAGAUCCGUACCUACGUUAUGGCUAUUUUACAUUGUUAAUUAAGUUGUUUGCUUCUUAGCUCGUUUUUUCCUUAGGGUGCAUUAGAACUAAUUAAUUAAUAAACAAUAAAAUUAUUUGUUUCAAAGUUCAGAUUUCAAUUUUUUACUUUUUUUUUCUUUUCUUUUUAUAAGCUUAAUUAGAUUUUCUUCUUGUUUCUACUGCAGCUCAUCAUAUAUAAUUACUAUAAUCAGAGAUUAAUUAGUUGGCCUUUUAUAUACUAUUUCAGAGAUGAACCCUCAUCGUCAAUAUGAGCCUGCACCAUUCAAAUCUUCUAAUAAGAAGGUGGCGGCGGCAUGCGAAAAGAAAAAAAGUGUGCUAAAUUUCACAAAUACAAAAAACCAGAAAGGAGAAAAAUCGCAUGAUCCGAACUUCGAAAGAGCUUCUAAUGUUGAAAAUGAUGAUAUGGGCGUAUACAACAAUACUUCCCAAUACCAUCUUGGUGUAGAUAAUUCUCAUCCCUCCUUGCAAAACGAAGAAAAUCCCACCAAUGAGUCCCUAGCCGACGAGUCCGAGAGCUACCUAAAUGCGAAUCAUAAGGAGGUCCACACAUGUCCAGAGUGUCGGCGGACCUUCCCUUCGGUGAAGGCGAUGCAUGGCCACCUGAGAACCCAUCCUAAUAAGGGUUACAAAGGAGCGGUCCCCCCGCCGAACAUAGCAAAGAAGCAAUUAGUACAACCUAGCAGCACAUCAGCUCCUCAAAUAGAAAUUCCCGUCUCGCAGCAACCUAUCACUAUAAAAAUAGAUCAUACAUCGAUCCCGAUGAGAGAUUCCAAUCGACUUAUUGAUCUGACCGCAGAAGCAACGAGUGUGGCUCUUAGCCUAGUGUAUAUGAGCAUAGAAACAAGUAAACAGACAGCAAAUCCAUCUCGUGAAAAAAAAACCAAUAGAUCACCUAAGAGGAAAAGAGAGAACAUGGAAAACGAUUUUAGAGUUAUCAAGGAUAAGGAAGAGACCGCAGAACAAUUGAGGAAUGGAGAGAGUCAUGAAGGUGAGGAUCAUUCUGGUGAUCAUCAAAUAGACGGAGAUGAUGACAAAGAAUAUAUCAAGGAAUCGCACUUACAACCAUCGUCUAGCUUGAUAGAAAAGAAGAAAAAGAAGAUUAAGAAAUUAGCCGGGCCUUAUCCUUGUAGUGUUUGCGAUAAAUUUUUCUCUACUCAUCAAGCAUUAGGCGGUCAUAUGGCAAGUCACAAUAAGAGCAAGAACAUCAUGGAUGAAGUGUUUACUGAAAAUGAAGCAAAUAAAGCUGAACAGAGCCACGUUGCGAAGCCGAUGGUCGAGACGGUUUCGAAGGGAUCGGAUUUAGGGAUACAUAAGUGUAAAAAGUGCGACCAAAUAUUUACAUCGGGACAAGCCCUCGGUGGGCACCAAAGGAAGCAUAAUCCUUUACCAGAUCAUAGUCGGAAGGAAAACAAUAUUGCACUCUAUCAAGAUCAGAAGGAAAGUAAUGUCGCCCCCGAGCACAGUCGAAAGGAAAGCUUGCCAGAUCAUAACCAGAAGGAAAGCAAUGUUGCGUUCAAUCACUUUCAUAAGGAAAACAAUAUUGCGCCCGAUCACGGUCGAAAGAAAAUCUCACCAGGUCAUAGUCAGAAGCAAAACAAUGAUGUGUCCGAUGAUCAUCGGAAGGAAAGCAAUGCUAUGCCUGAUCAUAGUCGAACGUAAUGUUAUGCACUGCAUCGACCUCAACAAAUCUGUAAAUUUUGAUUAGGAUCUACCUUCAUGAUCGAAAAGUGUAGAAGAGUUUUAGAGGUAAGUCAAAGGAGAGUUUUUUCACUAUUUAUGUUUUCUAGUUUUUGUAUGCAUUCAUUAUAUUAUAGUAACCGCAUUUUGUGCGUUGACUUAAGUUAUAUCUCGUUUAGAUUGUUCAUGAGAUUAAUUGAGAAGUGUCUUAGUUUUUCUGUUGGCUAUCUCUGAUACAGUAUUUAGUUUAUAAAAAUAAACAAACUUUACGGUUGUCUUAAAAAUAUUUUUUUGAUUAAUUAUACCUGUAUUCUAAUCUGUUUUUAUAUCUCAUUCUUGACAUUAUGGGAUUUUUUUUUCCAACUAGUGAACAGAAUUAAAAAUUUUUAAAUAUCUUAAAUAGCAAAUAUCACAUUACUGAAGUGAAUUAUUACAAUCUAAUAAUCCCCUUUUUUAUUAUUAAUCUAAUUAUUUGAUCAGAUUUAUAUAUAUCUUCGACGAGGUCUACAAAAAUAAUUCAAACUUAAAUAGUAACUACAACUCAAGUUCCUGAACAAUGAACAAUGUUAGGUAGCGUCAUAUCCACUCAUGACUUAGAUUACAUUCCCACAUCCUUGACAUACUCAAUUGUACUAGAAGAAGACAUUCUUUUUUUCAAAUACUUAUUAUUUGUUUGUACCUCCAUUUUAUUUCGAUCAAUGAAAACCACCGUAGACGAAGAAGAUAACUCAUGCAAAUGUAAAAAAAUUCUGCACGCUAAUUGACCAAAGUGGCCAUCCAAAAAGAGGGAAAUAUCUGGCUUUCCAACAGAUGGACCAAUCAGAUUGCCGGAAGUGCAGAAAGUUUGUACUCGGAGCAAAAAAAAAAAAAAAAAAAGCUGCAAGAGACUUGCUCCCAUACGUGGGUGUUCACCCGAGACGGCGGCAGAGGGUCAGGCCGUCGGCGAUGGAGAGGUGGCUGAUCUCGACGCGGGGGUCGGCAGCAAUGACGCUGUUGAACGCCCUCAUGAUCUCGCUGAUCAUCCGGUCGCGCUCCGACAGCGGCGCGUCCGGCGGCGCUGCCACCGUCCCCUCCCACAGCGUGUUGUCGUAGGCGAUGACGCCCCCGACCCUCACCAGCUCAACCAGCCGCUCGUGGUAGUUGAGGUAGUUGCUCUUGUCGGCGUCCACAAACGCAAAGUCCAGCGUCCCCUUGUUCUUCUCCUGUUGCAUAUAUGGCACUCUCUUAUUAAGCAUGCAUUUAGUCAAACACAUAGAAAGCA
rnacentral:lncRNA from 1 species